AUGGUGUGGCCCGUAGCUGGUUCGGCCGCGUCGUCACGGGGCCGAGGCAAGAGGGAACCCGGUGCAAAUCCGGGACUGCCCCGCAGCGGUGAGUGGGAACGACCGCCGUCAUACAGCACUGGGCCUCGGCCUGGGAAGCGACGGCCAGUAGGCGACUUCUGUCAGGCCCGCGAGUCCGAAGACCUGCCAGCGCGUCGCACGCCGG
rnacentral:ncRNA from 2 species